AUUGAACGCUGGCGGAAUGCUUUACACAUGCAAGUCGAGCGGCAGCACGGGGUCAACCCUGGUGGCGAGCGGAGAACGGGUGAGUAAUACAUCGGAACAUGCCCAGUCGUGGGGGAUACCACUUCCAAGGAAGUGCUAAUACCGCAUACGUGCUGAGGGGGAAAGCGGGGGAUCGCAAGACCUCGCGCGAUUGGAGUGGCCGAUGUCAGAUUAGCUAGUUGGUGGGGUAAAGGCCUACCAAGGCAACGAUCUGUAGCUGGUCUGAGAGGAUGAUCAGCCACACUGGGACUGAGACACGGCCCAGACUCCUACGGGAGGCAGCAGUGGGGAAUUUUGGACAAUGGGGGCAACCCUGAUCCAGCCAUUCCGCGUGAGUGAAGAAGGCCUUCGGGUUGUAAAGCUAUGUCGGCAGGAACGAAACGGUGAGCUCUAACAUAGCUUGCUAAUGACGGUACCUGAAGAAGAAGCACCGGCUAACUACGUG
rnacentral:rRNA from 1 species